UCCGAGUCAUUUUUUAUCCUACUUUUUUCGAAUAAACGACACGAGUAUUCUAAUUGUAUAUAAUGUAUAUAAUAAAAUAUAUAUUAUUACGAUCGAUCCAUUUUUCGAAUGAAUUUUGUGCAAUGAACGCUCUAACCGAAGAAGGAUUUUACAACGCAACUCUCAUCGAAUUUUCCGAGAAAAUGUUAAACCCCGAAGAAGAAGAAAAAGAAGAAGAAGAAGAAGAAAGAUUUUCAAGGAGAAAAGAGAAAAGGGAGAAAGAUGCCCUGCGGUUUUCCACGAUCCGCUAACGUAAGAGAAAUAAAGAGGGAGGACGAAGAAGAGGGUGGACGAGGAGCAACGAAGAUCCGUUGGAAGAGAAGAUGCGCGAGUAUAAUAAAGGAUAUUCGGGAUUAACUAUUUGGGACCACCACCUGGAGAGAAGAAUUAUCUAGAAUAACUCUGGAUGAUAAGUUUUAGAUAUAGCUAAGGUCGAGAUCUCAAAAGAUUCCCGUCCCUUGGAUGUUUGCACGCGGCGUGCCGUGAUACACGUUUGAGUAUGGGGUGUCUGUGUGCGCGUGUGUGUGUGUGGGUGUCUAGAGGAGAGAAAAUUAUGAGCCAAUAAAGGUUUCACGAGGUCGACCGAGAGAAGAUAGAGCACGUUGCGCCGGGUCCGUCGGAACGACGCAAUCUACGACUUCUUGCUUCUCUAACGACGCGAACGUGGAAUAACCGUGUACUUCUCUUUUCCCUAAAUAUUCGAUCCUAAACCCAAGUAGUCCACGAGUAUCGAUCACGUUUAACGUCCCCUUUUUCAAAGCUUUCAAAAUAAAAAUAAUCAAACUCUCCCGAUGAUUAUUGCGAUAACGAUCGAGUAGUCCUUUGAGUAGUAGUCAUUUUAGCUAGUCCAAUUAGGUGAUCAUUAAUUAUUAUUACAUGGAAGAUCGUCGAGUUAUUUACACGUGUGCCGAUGUCCUCGAUGUACUCUUUCCGUUCACGUGACCACCAGGUUCAGGGAAAAGAGGGUCAAACGAGAAAGCUAACCCUCAUUAGGCACCGUAUAUCAGGACAAAGUCGCGUGGCAAUGACGCGUAAUUAUUACGCGUCGAGUAUUACUUGCAUAUUACCAACAUAGAAUAACGUUCGGCGAACCUAUUAAAUACAGCAGAAAUGUACGUAAGGUAAGUCUUAAAAAAAGAUAUACCUCGGCAGUUUUUUAUUUCAGGUAGGUGUGACACGUUAGAGACAUAACUGAUUCAUUGCGCGAAUGUUCCCACGAAAGAAUAGAACGAACGAUCAUUUGUUCGAAUAAAACGAGAAAGAGUUAUAGGUACCCAACUACAAAUCCUUUAACUUUGUUCUUUACUUUUUACAAACGUACAAAACCCGAAUCGAAUUCGGACUUCGAUUGUAGAUCGAAGAUCAAUUGAAAAGUUAAUGUACCUAGACAUUAGCCGUUCGCACGACGGAUACGUUUGGAAGAGUGAUAAUUAUUUGAAACACUUUUAUUAAGCGAAAUCAAGCGAGUC
rnacentral:lncRNA from 1 species